rnacentral:misc_RNA from 1 species
GAUGAAGAACGUAGCGAAAUGCGAUAAGUAGUGUGAAUUGCAGAAUUCAGUGAAUCAUCGAAUCUUUGAACGCACAUUGCGCCCGCGAGUAUUCUCGCGGGCAUGCCUGUCCGAGCGUCAUUUCAACCCUCAGGGCCCGCCUGCUUGCAGGCGCGGCGCUGGUGUUGGGGAUCGGCUACCCUGCCGUCCCCCAAAUACAGUGGCGGUCUCGCUGCAGCCUCCCCUGCGUAGUAGCAACACUCGCAUGCGGAGCGCGGCGCGGCCACGCCGUAAAACCCCCGACUUUCUGAACGUUGACCUCGGAUCAGGUAGGAAUACCCGCUGAACUUAAGCAUAUCAAUAAGCGGAGGA